rnacentral:rRNA from 1 species
CUUGUUUGGUGGGGUAACGGCCUACCAAGGCUUCGACGGGUAUCUGGUCUGAGAGGAUGUCCAGCCACACUGGGACUGAGACACGGCCCAGACUCCUACGGGAGGCAGCAGUGGGGAAUCUUGCGCAAUGGGCGAAAGCCUGACGCAGCGAUGCCGCGUGCGGGAUGAAGGCCUUCGGGUUGUAAACCGCUUUCAUCAGGGACGAAAUUGACGGUACCUGCAUAAGAAGCCCCGGCCAACUACGUGCCAGCAGCCGCGGUAAUACGUAGGGGGCGAGCGUUGUCCGGAUUUAUUGGGUGUAAAGAGCUCGUAGGCGGUGUGUCGCGUCUGCUGUGAAAAUCCAAGGCUCAACCUUGGACCUGCAGUGGGUACGGGCACACUAGAGUGCGGUAGGGGAGAUUGGAAUUCCUGGUGUAGCGGUGGAAUGCGCAGAUAUCAGGAGGAACACCGAUGGCGAAGGCAGAUCUCUGGGCCGUAACUGACGCUGAGGAGCGAAAGCGUGGGGAGCGAACAGGAUUAGAUACCCUGGUAGUCCACGCCGUAAACGGUGGGAACUAGAUGUGGGGUCCGUUCCACGGAUUCCGUGUCGCAGCUAACGCAUUAAGUUCCCCGCCUGGGGAGUACGG